rnacentral:rRNA from 1 species
AUGUCUUCCUGUCUCACAGAUAUCAUUAGUGCCAAUGGUGUUGAUUUCAUUGGUCUUCAAGAGACCAUGAAGAAAAAUUAUAAAACCUCCUUUUUUAGGAAGCUUGACCCUAUGGCUAAUUUCCACUGGGAAUGGAUCCCUUCAAUUGGGAAAUCUGGAGGAAUCCUAUGUGGUGUGAGAGUAGAGAAGUUUGAUGUUAUUGACACUCUUUGUGGCAAGUACAUUUUGCAAAUUAACCUUUUUUACAAAAUUAAGAAGUGCAAGUGGGCUCUACUGAUCGUUUAUGGAGCUGCACAUGAUGAUAGGAAACCUGAGUUUUUGGCUGAGCUGUCCUCGUUUUGUAAUAAAAUUGACAUUCCUUAUCUGGUUGGGGGAGAUUUUAAUAUUCUUAGGCAUUGUGGAGAGAAAAACAAACAAACUCAUAUGUCUCAUUUCUCGGAUGUUUUUAAUUUUAUAAUCCAUUUACUUGGGCUGAGAGAGAUCUAUAUGUCCGGCGGUUCUUUUACUUGGUCCAAUAAACAAGAAUGUCCUACUUUCGAGAAGUUGGGCAGGGUCUUAAUGUCUCCUGAUUGGGAAGACGUGUUUCCCUUGGUCUCUGUUCGUAAGUUGGUUAAAGAGCUUUCGGACCAUAAUCCCCUACUUCUUGAGGGGGGGGGGGUGGCUCCUUCAAGGGCUCAGGGCAGCAGAUGUUUUAGGUUUGAUGUGACCUGGUUGAAUAACCCUGAUGUAAGGACAUAUUUAUCCCUAAGUGUUUUGGUGAUUGAUGACAACGCAUUUGCGGACUAA